rnacentral:miRNA from 1 species
AAUUGACAGUAUUAUGCCAGA